rnacentral:lncRNA from 1 species
UUUUUUUUUGUUUUGGUUUUUUAGGAGGGUAUAUUUCGUAGUCAACUCCUGUAGUACCCGGACAAAGUUAUCUUCCACGUGCUUCAGGAAAUUCCUGGACCUAUUUGUGUCCACUGUGCAGUAUUCCCAGUUGAUGUUUUUGUGUAUUAUUACUGCACUGCAACUAGUAUUUCAUGGUAACUUCAAUGUAAAGAGACACCUUUCAUUUACUGUAGAGUGAUUAGGUGCCCUGUUGCACACUUAAAAUUGCCUUGAUGUAAUAAAUAAAAUACAUACUCUACAGUUGCUCCUUGAAAUGAUGCAUAACUGAUUUCUUCCUGUCAUUUUUUACUUACUAUACUUUUUCAGUUAUCUGCAACUCUUACUGACACUGUUUUUGUACUUGCUUUGUUUAAUGGAUCACAAUUUGUAAUACAUUCAUUACUGCAUAGAGAACAGUUUAUCUAGGAACUUUGCUAACUGUGACUGCACUGUUAAAAGGCUGUGUUUGCUCAGCGAUUUUUUUAAUGUGACAAUCAGAUUCUAAUCCAAUUAAUGUUGGCUAUGUUGGGGUUGGGUGUGGGGGUUUUAGUAAAUAAAUCAGGUCAGAAUAUUAGUGGAGACAAGACAGUGGGAAGACAUAGCAUGUACAGCAUGAAAUCUGUGCUGAUCUCUUCUCCCUGGUAUCCAGUAGCAGGAUGCAUCAGGAUGGUUUGAAGUGGCAUCAAGGGAGGCUCAGACUAUAUAUUAAGUAACAUUUCUUUACCAACGGGGUGGUCAAACACUGGAACAGGCUUAAUAGGGAGUGGUCAAUGCCCCAUGCUGUUGGUGUUUAAGAGGCAUUUGGACAAUAACUUGAGUAAAACGCGCUUGAGUAAAAUGUGUAAAAGUUAGGUGCAUAACUUUUGGUCAGUCCUAAAUUUCUCUGGCAGUUGGACUAAAUGAUUGUUGUAGGUCCUUUCCAGCUGAACUAAUCUAUUAAUGGAAGACCAGCAAGUAUGAAUAAUGUACUAGAGAUAGAACAGUUGUGGUUUAUGGAGAAAGAGUAGGAUCAUAGAACAGAAAAGAACAGAACAGAAGUCUUCUACAGGCCUCAUUUUUUCUUCCGCUUCCCAUCUUUGCCAUCUGAGGUUCUCCUGCUUUGGCUCUUGGGCAGUUUGGAAUACCCAAAUAUUAUCUUUUUCUACUACAAAGUAUGUUGUCUGUCUGAAUUACAUUUCCUGUAAUUAAAUGGUGGUCUUUCCUUCUAAUGACCAAGGCACAUGGUUCAGAUGAUUUCAGAAACAAUCUAUGCUGGCCAAGAAGUUACUACAAAAUAAAGAAGUUGAUACCUUUCUUAGUGGCCCAGGAGACUUUGUACCAUUACAAGAAGAUGUGUAUUAUUACUGAACUGAGUCAAUGCUUAGUAUUUCUGGUUUAUUUAGAAAAUGACAUUGUAAUAUUUGUUAUAAAAUGUUACUAUUUAGUAAGAAUAUAUUUCACUAAAGUCAAAUAUAUUCUGUUUCCACAUUCCAUUCACUGGAAAAAAAACUUAAAAUUUCAAACUUCAUUGGCUUCAUGUUGAUAAAUAAAACCAAAGUAUCAAUUUCUGACAAUAUGAUUUUUAUGUUUCCUUAACUUUGUUCUUAAGCAUAUUGCAUGGCAAUCUUGCAGUUCGUUCAGUGUCAACAAGUUGCAACAACUGAGUAAUCACAUUUUAUUAUCUUCCCCAAGAGAAUGUUGAUAUGACUGGGUUUCAAAGAAUUUGGCUUGUUGACCAAAUUGUAAGUUUCUACCACAAUGAUAAAUAUCAAAGUGUUAAUGGUGAUCUGUAUCUUCCCACCCCUGAGGUAUUGAAAUAAAUUCCUGCAUCGCUCAUAUUACUAUUACUGAUCUCAUUAGGUGCAUAAAUCCAUAUUUGAAGUUUGCCUUUUAUUAGUUAACUGCCACCAUAAAACCAUUUGAUCACCAAGACUUAUUAAUGUAUUUGAGCUGCUUGAAAUAUAAAGUGUAAUUGAAUAAAACCCAAAGAAUAUGUCACAGUAGUCUUAUCACAUUCUGUGCGCUAGUCUGUUAAAGAUAUUAAUUGAAUUUCCUUUUUGAAAUUUUAAGCCGUUUUCAUUCAUUGUUCCCUUAAGCAAAAUACAUCAUUGACUAAACUCAGUGACAUGACAUCUUCUUGUUAAAGCAGAAAUACAUGCUUAUCUUAGUCCAGCUAAUCUUUGAUAUGAUAUAAUUGGCUCUAUUGUCCCUUUGGUAUUUGACAUAGUGAAAGUAACAACAGUAAUCGUGGCUGAAGAGACACUCUGCUUUUUCAUAGAUCUGGAAGGCCUCUGGUUACUUGCGCCAACAUAACCCACUCUAUACCAAAUGUCUUAACUUAGCUUUACUAGCACAUUCACAGAGCUUGAGAAACAGAGGGAUAAGUGGUAACAUCUAGAACUCAUUAAUCCUGAGGCAUGACACCAAGAAUAAAAAGAAAAACUGGAAAGGCAGUGAUAAGGGUGAAGAGCCUAGGUUAGAACAACUUGUGUGAUGCCAUCUACAUCUAGUAAUGUUUUUCUUCAGUUGUGUGGUUUUCUUCUCUGCUGGCCUGCUUUUAAAGACUUACUAUAUUUUUAUUUUAAGAAAUUUUCUUUAUAGGUUUUGUUGUCUGCAUCAAAUCAGUAACUCGAGCUGUUAAUAUACUCUAAGUAAUCCUAUUAGGUGUAGAACCAUUAUCUACAUAUCGCUCAAGACCACUUUCUUUGGUUUUUUUUAUGAGACCCCAGAAUGUAUCCAACCACAAUAAUUGACCUGGGUGAGAUUCACAUUACUUAAUUUUGCCUAGCCAGGGGUUAUUUAUCUAAUGUUGUCAACUAAACAAUCUUUAUUGUUGACACAGAGAGGCAAUUCCAGAAUACAAACUAUCUCAUACUAGAUGGAGUGGGAUAAAUCACCUAAGAUUGCGAGAACAAUAAACUUCUUGAUUUGGCAGAACAUCACUCCUGUGUUCCAGAAAUUCUACUAAUCUUCUUCAAAAGCCUUACCUAGUGACUGAAACAGUUGACACUUUUCUGGCAACAGUGCUGAAUGGAUCUUUCAGUGUUAAAUGGAAUUCUUGGGAGAGACUUAGUUCAGGAUGUCUGCAUACUGAUAAUGAGGUGACGUAAACCAACAUUUUGCAUAGAACCAAUUAGAAAAUUAAACUAAGUUCAGAUGUUGGUAACGUUAAAAAAAUAAAAAUUUACAAUUCUUUCUAGUGUAGAUUUAUUUCAUAAUGCAACAUUUCUUGUGUAUGCUUUCCAUUAAAAAAUCAGUAGAAUAUGAACAUAUGCCACAGAAAUGGGAUGUCAAAGACUAAAGAAAGUAAAAAUGCAUUGCUAAAAACCAACUGUGGAACCUGAGCUCCAAUGAAAUGCUGCAGCCAGAAAGGCUUGUUAUGGCUUUGAAUAAUGAACAGGAAAGAUUAGAAAAGUGGAUGUUAUUUUGCAUCUGUAAGCAUGUCUGGUGUCACCAAACCUUCAGUGCUAUAAGCAAAUUUGAUUUCAAGGACUCAGGAUGAAUACUGGUCAAUUGGAGUAGACUCUGGGAAGGGACACACUUUUCUUUACUGUAAUAUGUCCUUACACAGGAUAAAAGUAUUCAACAGUCUAUUUAUGUCAGUAGAUUCAUCACCUCAAGUGCUCCAGGAGCCUGUAAAAACUUAACCUUCAAGAGUUUCAGCUCAGUUACAUCCUCUUUCUGUAGGCCAAGAGCAGUGUGUUGUUAGUAUCAGACUUGAAUGGACAGCACAGCAUCAGGGUCUUGUCAGAUAGCUAUAUGAUUGUACCUGCAGGUAUGGCUUGUGCUGGGACGGGUCCGUCUACAGGAGGUUUUAUCCGUGCGCCGCUCCAGCUGCGGUUCUACCGGUGCGGCCUGGGCUUGUCACUGAGACAUCCCCCCACCUGCAUCGGCCCGGGCUACCCAAGACCGGCGGC